GUGCUCGCUUUGGCAGCACAUAUAGUAAAAUUGGAACAGUACAGAGAUGAGCUUGGUCCCUGUGCAAGGAAGACAUGAAAAUUCACGAAGUGUUCCAUCGCCCU